UACGAAGGGGGCUAGCGUUGCUCGGAAUCACUGGGCGUAAAGCGCACGUAGGCGGCUUUUUAAGUCAGGGGUGAAAUCCUGGAGCUCAACUCCAGAACUGCCUUUGAUACUGGGGAUCUUGAGUCCGGAAGAGGUGAGUGGAACUCCGAGUGUAGAGGUGAAAUUCGUAGAUAUUCGGAAGAACACCAGUGGCGAAGGCGGCUCACUGGUCCGGUACUGACGCUGAGGUGCGAAAGCGUGGGGAGCAAACAGG
rnacentral:rRNA from 1 species